CAAACCCUGCUGGAGAAGCAGGGCACGUGCUCGGUCGAUCGGCCGGCCGGGCAGCCCGCUGCAUGCAUGGUCGAUCGCAGCACGUGCGCUCCUUCUCCAUCAUGGAUUC
rnacentral:pre_miRNA from 2 species